UAAGAAUACAAGGUUGUAUUCAAUUAUCUCUGAAUGUGUCCUAUCUCAUGGGAAUGAGAUGGGAAUGCAUCCGAAGCAAAUUUCAAGAAAGAGUUAGGAACGUUUCUGAAGUAUCCACCAGACCGCCAAGCAGGGACUGGCAGAAAGAAGAGGCGCUGAAAUGGUGAAAGUAAUUGCAUUUGGAGAUCGCAAGA